rnacentral:Y_RNA from 1 species
GACUGGUCUGAGUGCAGUGGUGUUUACAGUGAGUUGAUCACAACCAGUUAUAGGUUUCGUUGUUCCUUCCCCUCUCCCACUGUUCCACUUGACCAGCCUUAA